UGUAUCGGAACGUAUCCGGGAGUGGGGGAUAGCUCGGCGAAAGCCGGAUUAAUACCGCAUAUGCCCUGAGGGGGAAAGUGGGGGACCGUAAGGCCUCACGCUUUCGGAGCGGCCGAUAUCGGAUUAGCUAGUUGGUGGGGUAAAGGCCUACCAAGGCGACGAUCCGUAGCGGGUCUGAGAGGAUGAUCCGCCACACUGGGACUGAGACACGGCCCAGACUCCUACGGGAGGCAGCAGUGGGGAAUUUUGGACAAUGGGCGCAAGCCUGAUCCAGCCAUGCCGCGUGAGUGAAGAAGGCCUUCGGGUUGUAAAGCUCUUUCGGCCGGGAAGAAAUCGUGCGGGCCAAUACCCUGUAUGGAUGACGGUACCGGAAGAAGAAGCACCGGCUAACUACGUG
rnacentral:rRNA from 1 species